rnacentral:rRNA from 1 species
AGUGGCGGACGGGUGAGUAACGCGUGGGUAACCUGCCUCAUACAGGGGGAUAACAGUUAGAAAUGACUGCUAAUACCGCAUAAGACCACAGCACCGCAUGGUGCAGGGGUAAAAACUCCGGUGGUAUGAGAUGGACCCGCGUCUGAUUAGGUAGUUGGUGGGGUAACGGCCUACCAAGCCGACGAUCAGUAGCCGACCUGAGAGGGUGACCGGCCACAUUGGAACUGAGACACGGCCCAA